GGUAGACGACGAACUUUUCGUAGCCCCGACGUGACGACUUUGUGGAACGAAUUUAGGGGGUGUAGCGCAGGUGGGAGCUUCGCCGGUCGUGAAGUGCCACUGCCAUCGGUGCCAUUUUACUUGUUCUGUCAAGUUGAAACGCAUGUUCGUCAUGUGGUUUUGCCAUAAGGUGCCUAUCGAGGUUUCGGUGGAUGCAGACGACACAGUCAGGAGCUGGGCUGGGGCGGCGUGCGCAGGUAUCAGAAGGCAAGCUCAAUGAAAACAGGAAUCUCAUGUUGACCACAACGGGGAAACGUUACUCGAUUUUUAGUACGAAUACAAACUGUGAGGGCAUGGCCUCUCGUUUCUUUAGGUAUGAAACCUUCAUCUAGAGGUGUUAGAAGAGCUGGCACAGGGAUAACUCGCUAGUGGCAGCCAAGCGUUCAUGGCGGCUGUGCGUUUUGAUCCUUCGGUGCCAGUUCCCUCUAUCAGUGCACGCAGAAGCAUCAAAGUGCCAGGUUGCUCCCCCGACAAUAGGGAACUGAGGUGGUUUUAGACUGUCAUGGGACAGGUUAGUUUUUCUGU
rnacentral:ncRNA from 1 species